ACUACGGGUGGCUGCAGUGAGGAAUAUUGGUCAAUGGGCGGAAGCCUGAACCAGCCAAGUAGCGUGCAGGAUGACGGCCCUACGGGUUGUAAACUGCUUUUAUACGGGAAUAACGCGCCUUACGUGUAGGGCUUUGCAUGUAACGUAUGAAUAAGGACCGGCUAAUUCCGUGCCAGCAGCCGCGUGAAUAGGGAAGGUCCGGGCGUUAGCCGGAUUUAUUGGGUUUAAAGGGAGCUUAGGCCGCAUGUCAAGCGUGCUGUGAAAUGUCCGGGCUCAACCCGGGCCUUGCAGCGCGAACUGGCGUGCUUGAGUCCGCGGAAAGCAGGCGGAAUUCGUCGUGUAGCGGUGAAAUGCUUAGAUAUGACGAAGAACCCCGAUUGCGAAGGCAGCUUGCUGCAGCGGAACUGACGCUGAUGCUCGAAAGCGCGGGUAUCGAACAGGAUUAGAUACCCUGGUAGUC
rnacentral:rRNA from 1 species